ACGGGUGAGUAACACGUGGUCAACCUACCUCUGUGUGGGGGAUAACUAGCCGAAAGGUUAGCUAAUACCGCAUACGAUCGUUUCGGGGCAUCCCGAGAUGAUGAAAGGAGCAAUCCGCACGGAGAGGGGACUGCGUCCCAUUAGUUAGUUGGUGGGGUAAUGGCCUACCAAGACUCCGAUGGGUAGCUGGCUUGAGAGAGCGACCAGCCACACUGGAACUGAGACACGGUCCAGACUCCUACGGGAGGCAGCAGUGAGGAAUUUUCCGCAAUGGGCGAAAGCCUGACGGAGCGACGCCGCGUGUGGGAAGAAGGCCUUCGGGUCGUAAACCACUGUCGAAGGGGACGAUAAUGACGGUACCCUUGGAGGAAGCCCCGGCUAACUACGUGCCAGCAGCCGCGG
rnacentral:rRNA from 1 species